AAUUUGAAAAACUGCGGCGCAGCGGCGGCAGUUUCCUGCGGAUGAUAUUGUAACGAACGAAAGGAACGAGCGAUCGGAACGGAGGUGGCCCGGACACUAGGUAGUCCCGUAGCUUGCGUGUACAGAAUGAACGGUUCUGCCAUAGCGUACACCGUCUUACUGUCUUUUCUUAAUGGAGUUUGGUGCUAAUAUGGCCGCCUCACGUUACGCAUACUUCUUAUUAUAAGUACACGCUCGUAAUAAUCGAGUGCGUACAAGUAUGAUAAUAAUGAUAAUAAUGACGACGAUAAUGAUGACGAAGAUUUUAACGAUGAUGAUGAUGAUGAUCUGCAUUAUGCGUCAACGAAGUGCAGCAGCCCAUAGGAGGGUAGGAAAGUAAUAAAUAUUUGAGAAAGAGCGAAUAAAUAAAUAAAAUAAAUGAUCAAAACGAGGAGGGAGAAAUAUGGAUGGCGAUCACAAACGCAUCACGAACCCGUCGUUAAAACUCUGUGUAAGUUGCAUACUCACGAUCGAGUGCAGAAAUUGUCGGCAAAAACUAUUGGACAAGAAAAAAAAAAAAAAGAAGAAGAAGAAGAAGAAGAAGAAAAUCCAUAAGAACAAGAAUAUUCAAAAUCAUUUGAAACAUUCCACUUGUUAUGGUAUAUUUUUUAUCCUUGAAAUUACCAACUCUAAUUAUACAUGCACGCGUCUGUAUAUCAGAUCAGCGAUGACGUGAGUUGAGUCGACGUUGAAAAAAAAAAAACAAAAAAAACCCACCAAAUGAAAAAAAAUCUAUCAUUCAUAGGCCUUGUAAUUAACCAGAUUGAUAAGUGUUACCUCGUUCCUGCACAUACGUAAUCCGUAAAAUUUAUUACAUUCGAUCUCACGGAGGUAAUGCACAUGAAGCCAAACAUGGUUGAAAUUGCGGUUCCAGCCAGUCAUUGAAUGUGAAAAAAAAAAAAGGAGAAAAAACACAAAAAAUACUGUUCGUCGAUCGAGAUCACCUCGUGCGAUCUUAUUGUGAACCACCUUGAUCAUCGACGAGCGAUCGGCACGGAGAAAAUUCCACAAGGUUUACUCGUUUUAUCGUAAGCGUUGGAUUCAAGGUCGCUUUAAGGAUGUCUGCAUUAUCGUUUCAUUCGGUUCACCGUUAACGAAGGUUAUUUUCCAAAUAAUUUCAGGUCCUUAUUCGUACGGCGGUCAAAAUUUUCUGAACGUAUCUAGUUAUAUAUUAUGCAUAAUAUAGAGAAAAAUUCAAAUUCACCCUUGACCAAUAGGUCGGACACGGUUGUAUAAUUAGACAGGUAGGUAUAUAUGCAUAAUUUUAACGAUCGAUGUUCCUAGUUUGCAAUUUUUCUAUUCAUAAAUAAUAAAUAAUACAGAUAACGAUCGGGUGUUAUCGGAAUUCCGCAAACAAUUGUCAACAGCGUGUAUAUACGGUGCAACCUACGCAUCGUCUUUUUUGCUUGUUUUGUUUUUCAAUUUUCUUUCUCCUGGACUUCACGCGGCCAUUGUUCUAUAAUUGAAGAAUCGGAGGUAUUUAUAGCCGCCUAUCGAACACGCAUAAAAUACCGACGGUGUUGCUUCGUCGUAUGUAACAAUAAUGGAUAAUGACAAUGAUUAUUGUUAUUGUUACGUUAAGUGACCCCAUUCUUUUACAAUGCGUCGGUCGUUUAAAGGCGUUACCUAUACCGAACCUAUACACCAUGCAAUAAUGCACGCUGCAGCGUCGCGAUAAUCGCUAGAGAUUCACCAUUCACGAUUCGUUUUAUUCGAAAUAAUUCGACGCCCCGUGCGGAUACGCAAUGUCAACCUCGUCUCGUACUUCGUUUAUCUUGUGCAAUGUCGUACAAAAUCGUCAACGAUGUAUCGACAACCUUUAACCACGCCGUGUAUACGCACAUGAUCGAUUCCCAUUCGAAACCGAAUGAACCGAGUGAGAAAACCUCCGUCCAUGUACGAUGGUCGUUAUGUAAUAUCUCAUUGUUAUGUUUAUGACCAUCCGACAUUUUUACCUUGGUAUCUAAUUGUUGCGUACACAUAUAUAUAUCUAUAAUUCGCGUAAACGCGAAUAUAAUGCUCUUGAGCGAAAAUAGGAAAGAAAAGACAUCGGUACGGUUGGUAAUUGAAUUAAUUAAUCGGCUAUCAAUUAUCCUUGAAUGAGACGAGAAAGAAGAAAAAGAAGAAGAAAUUUGCGGCACAGGUGUGUUAGUUCGAAACGAAAAUUUUACAAUAAGCGUCGAUGAUGCGCUAUUAUUUAUAAAAUCAAAAUAGAUCGAAUGAUUUAUUAAAUACGCGAUUAAUUUACAAUGCAACUACGUCAAUGGACCGGUUUGACGAGAAUCGUUUUUACCGAUCGUUGAAAGGUUUUUUUUCGGUUUUUUCGUUUUGCGGGGGCAAUUAUCGUUUGAAAUAACGUCCGAAUAUAAUUGAGAUGAAAAUUCCUCGAUUUUUCCUUCUUUCGUUAAUCUCUCAGACGCGGAUUUUCAACGCGGAGGAAAAAGAUGGGAGAAGCCGGGAAAGAUCCACGGUGUAAUUAAACGCGAUUUAUGAACUUGAGCAACCGCGGGAGCGGCGCGCGAUAUUAUGCAGAUUGGACAAGCGCGAGAGAAAAUUAUCGCAAUUCUCGUGCCGCAAGAUCUGCAGCGGAGAAAAAAAAUACACUUAUCAUACCCGCGUAUACGGUGCGUAUAGACGGGUACGCGCGAUGCAAUACACGACAUCAUAUGGGAGAACUGCAAUAAUAUGCAGUCAAGUAAUUUUUGCUAGCGAUACAAUUGAGCAAUAAAAAUCAUAAUUUUCCAUGGCAGAAACGUUGUAAAUAAUGGUAAAAUAAAUGGACAAGUAAUAAUAACGACUAACGCCCACUAAAAUAAAUUCAAAUUUACAAGAUACACGUGUAAACCGGGUGUAUUAAACUCGGCAUACGUAUGGCAUAUAGCGAGACGAUUAGCGCCAGAUCAGAUUUCGCAACUGAAACGAAUAAUCAUGACCCUCUAAAUCUAUGAGCAUACAAACUACGCUGACGAUGAUUUUUUAUUCAUAUAAAUACCCCGUAUUUAAAUGAAUUUAUAAAAUAAACAUCGUAUACCUACUCGCCAAUUUUCAACUAACAAGUAUACCCAAAUCCAAUAUGCGUGUACUUUUCUUUUCGGAGUCCAUGAUUGUUCACAUGGCUAAUUAACCGGUAUUCGAGGAAUUCUACAAUAAUUAUAAUAACAAUUAUAUCGGCUGAAUCGUAUAUAGUUACUCUACUGCAACGUAAUUGGUCGUGAAAUUUUCGCAAUAUCUACUUUACAAUUUUGACAAGCCUUUGUACUCGUUAAAACAUUACAUUAUACCCGUGCUAUGACGCCCGCGCGUUCUCAUACCUGUGCGAACUUUCAACUUUUAAUUGGACACGCUCCAGACGAAAUUAAUAAGCUCAUCUUGAGUUAACUCAAAAUUGUGUCUAACUUUUUUGUCGAUUUAUUUAUUUUUUUCUUUUGUUUAUUUUGGUCAGAAGAGAUUCGUGACAAAAAAAACCUACCGUCUUCACUACCAGGUACCACACCUUCGCUUUAUUUAUAGAAAUAAAAGAACAAAUUUGACAAAAAAAAAAAAAAAAAAACCCAUAUACUUGUGGCGCGCCAUAACCUUGAUUAAUUUUACGUCGUCUAUGCGACUGUAAAAUUAUAUUCUCCUCGAACCUUGUCGUCCAUCGGUCUUAUAAGAGCCUGUUGCCCAACAACCUGUACGUCUAAUACACACGUGUAGAUUUUUUAAAGUUAUUUUCACACCACAAUUCGAUUCACGCGUGAUCAGCUGAUUUUACAUACCUCAUCGCGUGAGUCGACUUGUAUUAUUUCUUCCGACUUUGACUUUUUCUCUUUCGUAUUUUUUAUUAUCGUAUUUUCACCCGAACAUUCUUCGAGAAACUGUUUGAAGAAUAGGGUGAAUCGGAGGGUACCGGUAUUUGGUGAAAUUUUUUAUUCUCGGUUACCCUUUUUUUUUACCGAAUUCAGAAGAACGGUGUAGUCGUCCCUGCGUUGUGUUUUUUGUGAAAAAUUUGAAAACGAAGAUGAAAAAAUUGGCGAAAAUUGUGAACGCAGCCUUACGACGAAAUUCAAUUCGGUAUGCGAGUUUAUAAAAUGCAUGUUUCUUUUGGAGAGAAAAAAAAAAGAAGAAAUAAUCACGAACAACUUUGGACAUCGCGUUCGUCGGCGGCACACAAUGAAUACUGCGAUUGUGACCCUGACCCAGGAGACAAACUUGGAAGGUAUGGCCACGAUUUCAUCCAUCAGCUAGUACCCACCGUCCAUCCGUCCUCAUUGUCAGUCAACCUGCCACACAUAAAUAAUGUAGACUACGAAGGUUUUAUCCUCUACUUACUAACUCAUUUAUUUUUCUUCAUUCUCAAGUGCGGUUGAUAAAGAGUGCACACGCACGCCCGCUAACCACCGAUCUAUUCUGCGCGCGGUUCAAAUUUUCAAUCUCCCACACAUCGUGCCGGUCACGAUUCUCUUUUUUUCGACGCUGCAGCGGCAUCGUAAUGCUGCAUUCUUUCGGUCAAGUUUAAACCAAAUUUGACACAUUGAAACCUUGAAGCGAAUGAUAUUCAUCCUGCAAUUAUUGAUCACGCAAACGUUAAUGAAAAUACGAUUACUUGUAGUUUGCUUUUUAUUUUUUAUUUCUUUUUUUCAUCCUCUCUGCCCAUCGAAUAAUAUCAAUCCAUAAAAUGAAUGGUUCCAUACCUUUAUUUGUUGAAAAACAAACAAAAUUAGACUAGAAAUAAUAAUAACAAUAAAUGAAUAAAUGAGCAGUAUCCAUAUCUCGUCGGGACGGGAAUAUGAACUUUUUGCGAGGCCAGGGACAAAUUGUUUCGCGAGGUCGAACCGAAAAAGGGGGAGAAAAAGUGAAAAAAGCCAAGAACAAAAAAAUACAAAAUUCAAAAUGGAGAAAAAAAUUUCGAACGCUAAUUAUUCGAAGGUUUUCGUUGGGGCAUCGAACCACCGCGUGAAAAAGUU